UGGGGAAUAUUGGGCAAUGGGCGAAAGCCUGACCCAGCGACGCCGCGUGGGCGAUGAAGGCCUUCGGGUUGUAAAGCCCUGUCAUGCGGAAAGAACGACCCUGUGACGCAUACUCACAGGGAGUGACGGUACCGCAGGAGGAAGCACCGGCUAACUCCGUGCCAGCAGCCGCGGUAAUACGGAGGGUGCAAGCGUUGUUCGGAAUUAUUGGGCGUAAAGGGCGCGUAGGCGGUAAUGUAAGUCAGAUGUGAAAUACUUCGGCUCAACUGAAGAACUGCAUCUGAAACUGCAUAACUAGAGUACAGAAGAGGGAAACGGAAGUCCCGGUGUAGAGGUGAAAUUCGUAGAUAUCUGGAGGAACACCAGUGGCGAAGGCGGUUUCCUGGUCUGAUACUGACGCUGAGGCGCGAAAGUUUGUUGAGCAAACA
rnacentral:rRNA from 1 species